GUUGGAAUUGGCAGUUCUAUUGGCAGGAACCUCUAGACUGUUUUCCAUAGUGGCUGCAUCUAUUUACAUUCCCACCAGCAAUGCACGGUGAUUUUCUUUUCUCUCCGUCCUUGCUAACACUUGUUAUUUCUUAUCUUUUUGAUGAUAGCCCUUCUAACAGGCAUGAGGUGGUAUCUCACUGUGGUUUUGAUUUGCAUUCCCCUGAUGAUUAAUGAUGUUGAGAACCUUUUCAGGUACUGUUGGCUAUUUUCUGUCUUCUUUGGAAAAAUGUCUGGAUCCUCUGCCCAUUUUUUAAUUGAAUUGUUUUUGCUACUCAGUUAUAUGAGUUCUUUAUGUAUUUUGGAUAUUAACCCCUUAUCAGAUACAUGAUUUGCAGAUAUUUUCUACAGUGUGGUAGGUUGUCUUUUUGACUAGUUUAGAAAUAAGAAACAUUUCUGUCUUUUGAGGAGAGAAGUUACACAAGGACAAAAGAAAAUUACACAUACAAAACUUGAGGGAAGUGGUAGGGGAAGAAGGGCUGCUUCUGAAUGAGAUGAGAGUGUUGGUAAGUGGAAAGAGGAAAAAUGAGAGGAAAUGUGAAGAUUCAGGAUUGAAUGAAUACAUAAUAGAAGAGGGAUAAUCGAUAGGGCAAGAUCUUGUGUUAUUACAGCAUCGACUCUAUUUUUGUGUGGAAAAUGUGUAUGUUAAAAGCAUCCUAGAAAUGUGUUUGCUAUUUAUCUAUAGUAACAUCUGAAAACACAUUUGAAAGUGCUUUAGAAUAGGCACUUAAAGAAAGGGCCAGAUAUUAAAUAUUGUAGGCUUUGUGGGUCACAUGUGGUCUCUAUUGCAUAUGCUUCUGCUUUUCUUCCUUUGCUUUCUUCUUUUUCCUUCCUCUUUAAAACUGUAAAAUCAUUCUUAGCUCAUUUGCCAUACUAAAAACAGGCCAUUGGCCAGAUUUGGCCUGUAGGUCAUAGUUUGCUGACCCUUGCUUUAGAACUUAAUUAUCCUAAUAGAACAUUUGGUUCCACCACCCGACCAAAAAAAACCCUUUUCUCUCUCUCUCUCAAUAAGUGAAGACAGAAAUAGGUCUUUCUUUGAGAAUAAAACAUUUUAAUACAUUUGAAUGUAUCUGACCCCUGACCAUCAUCACUCAGAUUUGUGAAGAUAGUCUGUUUCCUUCUCUGGACCAUAAUGGCAGGUGUAACAAAUAAUGUUUAACAGAACAAAUAAUGUUUAACAGAAAUAAUACUGCGUGACAUCUGAAAACAGGAUUAUGAGAGGUGAUACACCUUCUGCCCCUCUCUCCUCUCUUCUUCUCUCUCUCCACAUACAUUUGGAGCUCUAAGGUGCCGUGUAGUAAUAGCUACCCUGAAGUUUCCGUGCUGAAAAGACCAUGGGGAGAUCACAUAGACAUAGGGAGAGAUGUCUGAGGAAACCCAGCUGUUCCUGCCCCCAGCUAUUUUAAGUCUUCCCAGAGCAGGCACCAUGCAUAUGAAUGAGCAAGUCCCAGAUGAUUUCAGUACCAGCUACCAUCUGCUGCAAGCUCAUGAGACACCCUAAGCAAGAAACUUAGUCAAGCCCCAGAACCAUGAGAGACAAUAGUAAAACUGUGGUUGUUGUUUUAAGCCAAAGUUUUAGGGUAAUUUGUUACAUAGCAAUAGAUAAUCAGAAAUGAUUUUGAGACCUGGAAAUGGAGUGUUAUUAGAACAAAACCUAAGACAUAUGGCAGUGGCUUUGCAGCUGAGCUGCCUGCAUACGUUGGAAGGGCCUUGAAGAGAUUAACAGCAGAAAUCUGAUGGAUCUUGAGGUUGUCAGUAGGGCUUAAAGGAAAGUGAGGAGAAAAGUUAUUAAAGCUGGGGGAAAAGCCCUUGUAUGAUAAUGUAGAAAUACAAAAUACACUUAACGAACUUAUAGAUAAGCCUGAACAGUUUUCAGGCUAAAGUUUUAAACUUUUACCUGGUUUAAAAGAGCUGAUAUGAAAUACUAGUAAUGAUGAGCUAGAGAAGAAAUUACUCCGUUUUCAAGCAAAAUUUUGAGGAAAUACAUUAAGUCAAAACUUGCUGGGUUAGAAAAUAAAACCCUUUUCCGACUGCCAGUCUCUUGCAGCAGCAUAUUCCCAAAGUAAGGAAAAGGGUCUCAGGACAAAAUCAGAUUCACAUCUCUGUUAUAAAAAGUUCUCAGGGUAAAGAUGAAGCUAAAGAUUUGAUUGUGAAAUCCUUUUUUAAGACACCAGAAGAGGGAAAAAUUUGCAAUUUAGGAUACUCUACCCAGCAAAGUUAUCAUUUAGAAUAGAAGAGAUAAUUUCUCAGAUAAAUAAAAACUAAAUAUGGCAAUGCUAAACUUUUCUAAAGGAAAUAUUGAAAGGUCUUCUCUAAAUAGAAAGGAAAUAAGAGUCUUUAGGAAAGAUAAAAUCACAAUUGCAAAAACAGUACACAGAUUUAAGAAA
rnacentral:lncRNA from 1 species